AGUGAACGCUGGCGGUAGGCCUAACGCAUGCAAGUCGAACGGCAGCACAGUAAGAGCUUGCUCUUACGGGUGGCGAGUGGCGGACGGGUGAGGAAUACAUCGGAAUCUACUUUUUCGUGGGGGAUAACGUAGGGAAACUUACGCUAAUACCGCAUACGACCUACGGGUGAAAGCAGGGGAUCUUCGGACCUUGCGCGAUUGAAUGAGCCGAUGUCGGAUUAGCUAGUUGGCGGGGUUAAGGCCCACCAAGGCGACGAUCCGUAGCUGGUCUGAGAGGAUGAUCAGCCACACUGGAACUGAGACACGGUCCAGACUCCUACGGGAGGCAGCAGUGGGGAAUAUUGGACAAUGGGCGCAAGCCUGAUCCAGCCAUACCGCGUGGGUGAAGAAGGCCUUCGGGUUGUAAAGCCCUUUUGUUGGGAAAGAAAAGCAGCAGGUUAAUACCCCGCUGUUCUGACGGUACCCAAAGAAUAAGCACCGGCUAACUUCGUG
rnacentral:rRNA from 1 species